GACGAACGCUGGCGGCGUGCCUAAUGCAUGCAAGUCGAGCGACGCACAUCAGAGGGGUAACCCACUGGUAUGACGGAGCGGCGAACGGGUGAGUAACACGUGAGUAACCUGCCCCACAGACCGGGAUAGCCCAGGGAAACCUGGAUUAAUACCGGAUAUCCUCGAGUAACCACAUGAUUGUUCGAGGAAAUGCCUUUGUGCUGUGGGAUGGACUCGCGGCUUAUCAGCUAGUUGGUGGGUAACGGCCUACCAAGGCAUUGACGAGUAGCUGGUCUGAGAGGACGAUCAGCCACACUGGGACUGAGACACGGCCCAGACUCCUACGGGUGGCAG
rnacentral:rRNA from 1 species